GAAACUUAUGAGGUAAGAGCAAAGAUUAACUUCCUCUUGUGAGCACAAAUGGAUGGAUGAUGUAGCUGGGGACAUGCUGCUCACUGACAGACUGCUGCUUGAAUUUGUAAUGUUUGGUGCUGUGAACUAAAUGGAUUGAUGCCCACAUUUGAAUGUGUGCAAGUCCUACUGCCAAAUGUGAUGAUAAUAGAAUGCUAGCUAUGGAAUGCAAUUAUGUCAUAAAGAUGGAAACCUCAUGAACAUGAUUACUGUCCUGACAAAAUAGACACUUGUUGUAGAACAUUAUUUUAAGGAGUGUUACUUUUGUUUAUUUGCAUUUGUUUAACUCUGUGAAGCUGUGUUACUGUACCAGUCUUUUUAAAACACAAGAUGGUUUAAUAAUGAUCUGAGCCACCAAUAGCAAGGGAGAAAUCUUGGAAAAGGAGAAAAGGAAGCAACCAGACAAGGAAGAGGACAUUGGUACCAGUCACUUAGCGACACAGCAAGUCAAAGAAAAUUUACCUUAAGUCACAAAAUCCAAAGGCUUGCUUGAAGACUGGUCUCCUAGAUGACUUCAGACCCUGACAAGCUGGCAAUUAACACUAUCACAGAAGUGAUACCUUAAGUCCAUUUUAACUCUCCUAUACUUUGGACUGAUGAAGAGUCUGUUUCCAUUCUACAAAAUUGACUGAAAAUAUAGAAACACUCCAGGUAUCCUCUUAACCAACUCAGACUGUGAAACAUGACUGAUUAUGUCAUAAUUUCCUGACAUACAAUACUCAAAGCAUAAUAUUUCCCUAAAGUAAUAUCAGAUCAAGUUGCCGAAUUCAGUGGUUUUCUCUAGGCCUGCAUAAGAACAGAAAGAAAUGUACCCCCCAUUUGCAGUGAUUUGAGGGCGUUUUGUAUCCUGUCAUGCAGUUGUUUCACUCUGGAAACCCCACAGAUUCUUAACUUCUGAGCGAUGUCAAAUGCCAGGAACAACAGAGAACUGCUGGUUAUCACAGCUUAUCCAUCUCUCUGGUAGCACUUCUAUUACUCACUGUCCAUCCCGUACCAAGGAAAUUGAUGGUACAUCUCCAGGAAAUGAUAGGUCAAACACAACAUCUCAGUAUAUAACCCAAAGCGACCCUAUCCUUUUUAUAUAAUUUAUAAACGUGUUUUUAUCCAUACCUCGUAUCACCAUCAGGAAAAUGCAACAAAAUCAGAAAAAAAAAUAUGACAGAUGGGUGUAACAAAAGGCCAGACAAUUAUGAGAUGGAUGGAACAUUGGACUAAAUGUGCUUCGGUUGGCCUCCUGUCUUUUUGUCUUUAGGCUGCAACUUUUCUCCCAUCAGGUGGGAUACAUGUGUAGACAGCAGAUAGCCUAGGAAAUUAAAAAAUCAAUGGGUUCUGCCCCAGCAUCCAUAAAACUCUGACCAAAUCAUUUCCAAGAGUGGGGCCCAUAUGUCUUAUCAAAUUUCUUGAGCAAACUAAUAUACCUCAGGAAGUCUCCAUAGUUUACCACCCCCGUGUAAUGCUCCACAUGAAUUUUCUAAAUUACCUUGACUUCAAGAGAAAUAUCCCCUUUUAAAAUAUUGUUAGCAUGUUCUUUAGGUGGACUGGGUACUAUCCAAGUGGGCACAUCAAUCCAUCAGUUUAAAAAAAUAGGAACUAAUGUAAUUUCUCAUUUUAAUUUUCUUUCGUGUCCUAAUUCAGACCAAGGAACUCAUUUUACAACAGAAAUAAACAAUUUACUUGCAAAA